rnacentral:rRNA from 1 species
GACGAACGCUGGCGGCGUGCUUAACACAUGCAAGUCGAACGGAAAGGCCCUGCUUUUGUUGGGUGCUCGAGUGGCGAACGGAUGAGUAACACGUGAGUAACCUGCCCUUGACUUUGGGAUAACUUCAGGAAACUGGGGCUAAUACCGGAUAGGAGCUCCUGCUGCAUGGUGGGGGUUGGAAAUUUUCGGCGGUUGGGGAUGGACUCGCGGUUGAUCAGCUUGUUUGGGUGGUAGUGGCUUACCAAGGCUUUGACGGGUAGCCGGCCUGAGAGGGUGACCGGCCACCUUGGGACUGAGAUACGGCACAGACUCGUACGGGAGGCAGCAGUGGGGAAGAUUGCACAAUGGGCGGAAGCCGGAUGCAGCAACGCCGCGUGCGGGAUGACGGCCUUCGGGUUGUAAGCAGCUUUCGCGUGUGACGAUGCGUGAGUGACGGUAAUGGAUAAAGAAGCACCGGCUAACUACGUG